CUCUAAUCCUCAGAAAGAGGAAACUUGCUACUGAGAGCAUCAAUGCAACUGAGGAACUUUGCUGUGGAGGGACAUCAAGAGUCUGCAGUUAGUCCAAUCU